GUAGAGAGGCGGAACCAUCAAGGCGAGGGUCAGGGCUCCAUCCUAAAAUACAUGCACUGGUUUCUGCCUUCUCAUAAAGAGAAGUUAAACGGCUCCAUCUCAGGCAGGAAUUGAAUAAAAAGGAAAAACACCAUCAUCAACCAGCCCAGGGACAGAUGUCCACACUGCCUUAUUUUUACAGAAAUCACUUUACAUUCCAGUGGCAGGGGAGAAGUACCAAAAAAAGAAGAAGAGCAACAUUAAGCUACUGGCAUUCAUACCCCAUUAUCAUGAAAGCCUCACAUUUUCUGAACCCUUUUUCAUAAUAACUCAAUUCUCAAAAUAACCCUGUCAAGUAGGAAUGAAAGGAAUUGAAUAAUCCACCACUCACCAAUGAGUAAACGCAGAAGAGGCACGCAGCCUUAUCCCGGGAGAGUGACAGAAGUGGGGCUGGCCUCAGGAUAAGAAUCACUAGCACUUGUAAGGGAUUUAUUAAUUAAACACCGGCUCUAUGUCUUCCACAGACUACUGGAUUUCCUACUUCUCAGCAGUCUCCUUCUGCCAUUGGGCAGUUAUUACUGUUAACAGUCCUUUCUACAGAAUGGAAAACUAAGACUCAAAGAAUAAAUACCCUGCAAAUAAAGAGCUAAGAAGUGGAAUUAUGACUGAGCCAUCUCCUUCCACAGCCAGCGCACUUGACCACCGCUGUCUCAUCCCAUCCAUCCGGGUCCUCAGCUCUGGUUCUUUCGGGACAGACCUUACAAACGCUCGUUUGUCCUUCAAAAAUAAUAUUCAUUACACUAGGGAAAAGGUGCCUCUAAUUUGAUACUCAAAACACAUAAUGAUUUCAUACCAGAUUGGCAUUGCGUUGGUCCAAUGACUGAAUGUUGUAAGCAGAAAGAAUGCUUCAGGAAAACAUGCCACACCAUUCAUAUACCUUCUACUGCAUCAGAAGACUGCAGACUGAAAUUUUGGAUUUCAGCACCAUUAUCUUACCUUCACUAUCCACUCGUUUGGGAGAUUGCAGGCCUGAUCUAUCCGAAAUAACUAAGGAUUAAUAUUGACAAAAAUACUGAUGCAUUGGAAGGUCAUACUUAACCCAGGCCAAACUGCUCGGAGGGUUGUGGCCGAAGUCCCUAAUAGCGAAUACACACUUGUUGGGUAUGUUCCUCUUAUGCCUAUCCUCAGAGACCUGGACGAGGUGGGCAG